UAUUUUUUGCCAACUUCUCUGUCCUAAAGCCUUUUUUCCCCCCUUUUUCUCCAUGCAGUGGGAUCUUACCUCCAUAAAACCAUUGCCUUUAUUGCUCAUGGAAAAGUGAUUUUCCCCCAGAAAAAUUCUUCAGUCAUCAAGGAGGAAGGCUAUACAUGCAAAUUCGGUUUCCUGAUGCAUUCCCACUUACUCUGCCCUUCUGUUCUGGCAGAAUGAGGAAAAACUGUGGGCUGCCAAAAGGUGAAGACAACCACUUUAUCUGCAAGAGAAUAUUCAUUUAUGGGACUUCACUAGUGACAUAGGUUUGAAAUGGGAAAAUGGGCUUAAAGCCUUCUUCAGGAGAGAUUUACUCACAGUUUCCUCCAGUGUCAUUCAGGGGCCAAGUUUUCAAGUCUUCCAGAUUUGGACUUGUUUUGAUUUCACUGCAUAAUCCUGCAAGAAUUCUGCCAACAACAAGGCCAAUGUGUCUGAAAACAGAUGGCAUUUCCAGUACCUAAAGCCUGGUCAGGUUGAUUGCUUUGAGUCUGUAAGGUCAUCAUGGUUGAAGGCAUGAAGAUGAGGACAUCAAAGCCUUUGCCCACUUAUGACAAUUACUCUGGAGACAAACACAGCUGAGAAGACAAAUGUUAUGAGCUACCUGUGGAGCCUCAUCUUGAGUAGCCUUGGGAGGGCCAAAGGUGCUUCCUUUUCCAGUUCCCUGCCUGGAUUUUAGAAGAUACCAUUUUUUAGCAUCCAAACAAGGAAAUCACAGCAAUUUCCAUGGGAAGAAUCUCAGACAUGACAGGGCUUCCCCCCAAAACACUGCCUGUAUAAUUGCUGAAGACAUUCCAAGCCACUCUAACGAAGUGCUGUCUGCCAGUCAUUAUGUUCUCCUUGGAGGACCAUCUGUUGCACUUCAAAUAUGUAAAGGUCUCUAUCAUUUAUUGCUCCAAACAAAUCCAGGCUUUUGUCUGAUGUGCUGGAGCUCCUGAAUGGAUUCUAAAGGACACGUCCUUGUAGGGAUAUUUGGAUUCUGGUAACUCGAGGUUGUUUUCUGAGAAACACACACUGAGUGAAUAUUCUGUUCUACCUUUUACUCUGGACAUAUUUUACACACACUUGCAGGAUGGUGUACUGCACAUGUUUGGGUAAUUUUGCAAGGAUCUGAUGAAGUUGUUAAAGCCAGGUAGGCAAUUUUGCCAGCAAUGAUAUUUUUAAUCUUCUUUUUUAAAAUGGCUUGGUAGUAGUGACUAAGGCAGACUAGGUGGCUCUGGGCAGCUCGCCAUUUUUAGGUAGUUUAAUUUGUUAAAAAUUAUCUUUCUUCCCACCCAAAUCCCCUUGAAACCAUUUGGAGAAGAGAACUGUUGAACAGUUGCCAGUAAUAAGUCCUACUGAGACCUCUGUAUCCUCCUGACAGAAAUGUUGGUGCCAACUGGAGACUGACUGGCACGAAUUUGAACUCCACACUACUUGAUAUAUUUGCUUCACAUGCACCAAUUACAAUAAUUACCACCUCUGUAGCUGAAGUUUAAGCACUCGGUCUGCUCUCCAUACCUCAGGUUGUUGGCAGUAUGUUCAAUCCUAUAAUCUCAAUUUUCUUGGAAUAAUUAAGUAGAAAAUAAAUACUUCAAAAAAUUAGGAGACAGUCUGAAUGGAAAUCAGAGGCUGCAUAAUAGAGUGGUUUGUCAUGUUGCUAUUGUUAAGCUGCAUUUAUUUCUAUUUAAUCUUUAUUUCUAAAAGGCAGCAUCUUCUUUUGCCUGCAGAGAUUCACCAGGAGAUGCUGUAAUCCAUUGACUUUUAUAUUCAGCAGUAGAGUAUCUCUUGAUGUCAAGGAAAAAGCAACAUGAACUCCUACUUGGUUUAGAUGUUUUAAAAAAUAUAAAUAUUCCUUUCAAAACAAAUGCUUUUGACUGGAAGAGGAAAUCACCCAUCUCUUACUCCUUUUGGCUGGGUGUUCCCAUGUAAGAUUGUUGGGAUUUAAUACCAGGACUGGCUUGAACUGCCCAAUUCCUGACAAUUCCACUGGUUUAAAUCUGAUGCAAUGGGGACCAUCUCUUCCCCACCCCUUUUGUCUUUCCAAGAGACUGGUUAAUUUUUAA